rnacentral:rRNA from 1 species
UACAGAGGUGGCAAGCGUUGUUCGGAAUUACUGGGCGUAAAGGGCGCGAAGGCGGCCUUCUAAGUCGGAUGUGAAAGCCCCAGGCUUAACCUGGGAACUGCAUCCGAUACUGGAAGGCUAGGAUUCGGGAGAGGGAUGUGGAAUUCUAGGUGUAGCGGUGAAAUGCGUAGAUAUCUGGAGGAACACCGGUGGCGAAGGGGGCAUCCUGGACGGACAGCGACGAUGAGGCGCGAAAGCUAGGGGAGCAAACGGG